rnacentral:tmRNA from 1 species
GGGGCUGUUUGGUUUUGACAGCAAGUAGAAAAGGUAUGUAAGCAUGUCGAGCGUCGGAAUGCCGGCUCGUAAAUCCCGGAUUUCAACAACAAUAACUGGCGAAAAUAACUACGCUCUUGCUGCUUAAUCGAAUCAUAGUAGAUCGAGCUUAAUCCCGGCACAAGGUGCUGAGACGAGACAUCUCUCCGGAGCCGUGGCUUCGAGGCAAAGGAUAAAGAGGUGCAGCUAAAUCGAAGAUAGUCCUGCUUGGCUUCGCAUUCAGGAUGAAAUUUUAGAAGAUAAGGUAGUGGUUGGUAGCUUUGGUCUUGCUACUACUCGAAAACUGAAACAAAGAUAAACAUGUAGAAAGCAUAUUGUUUCCUUGUUUGGACGAGGGUUCGACUCCCUCCAGCUCCACAA